rnacentral:rRNA from 1 species
GAACGAUGAACCACUUCGGUGGGGAUUAGUGGCGAACGGGUGAGUAACACGUGGGCAAUCUGCCCUGCACUCUGGGACAAGCCCUGGAAACGGGGUAUAAUACCGGAUACGAGUUUCACAGGCAUCUGUGAUUAUGGAAAGCUCCGGCGGUGCAGGAUGAGCCCGCGGCCUAUCAGCUUGUUGGUGAGGUAACGGCUCACCAAGGCGACGACGGGUAGCCGGCCUGAGAGGGCGACCGGCCACACUGGGGCUGAGACACGGCCCAGACUCCUACGGGAGGCAGCAGUGGGGAAUAUUGCACAAUGGGCGAAAGCCUGAUGCAGCGACGCCGCGUGAGGGAUGACGGCCUUCGGGUUGUAAACCUCUUUCAGCAGGGAAGAAGCGAGAGUGACGGUACCUGCAGAAGAAGCGCCGUCUAACUACGUGCCAGCAGCCGCGGUAAU